rnacentral:lncRNA from 1 species
GAGAAGCACCAGGUUUAAUAUUAAAAUCUUUCUCUUAAAAAAGUACACAGAGAGGAAAAUUUGAUGGCGUACAAAAUAGCACUUCUGUCAUAUAAAUGUGUGUUAACGUGAGUCCUAAAAAUACUUGUAAACCUAGGUGAUUACAUCUUUGGUACCGUAGUGAGAACCCAUACCCUCUCCUUGACCAGGCUUUAGGGGUCCCAGGGCAGGGAGGUGCCAACCAACACAGGGGGCUGGUUCCCAGAGUCGCUGACCUUCCCUAAACCACCCAC